GUGGUUGCUAAAAAUUAGGGGUAGUGGGACUCAAAGGGGCUGACUUAGCUCGAAUCAUAUUUCCCCACUAUGUCCCUAUUACUUAGGAAGGAGUUAUUAUAGGGAUUAUUAGUAACUGGUUCCUCAUUCUGGCUUCACACGCAUAGAAAACAAAAACAGAUAUUCAGAGAGAAAACUCAGAGGGUUUAGAAGGAAAGGGGUGAAUCAAGGAAAGAUCAAAUUGUAGGAGUCAUCAUCUAAGUUUCUCACCACAGGUUAAUUGAGAGGUAGUGGAGUGAAGACCGCCGUGUUAAGAAUUAAGAGCUGCUGCUGCGAAGGUAAGGGACUCCACACACUUUUCUUACUUGCAAUAUAUAAAUUCUUUUGUGCUGUUAUGGUGUGGCGGUCAUCUUUAUUGCGAGUGAUUAUGUGACUGCUAUUUAUUGAUUUACUUGUGCGUAAGGGGAUAUCUUAAGUAAAUAGCUUAAGGUAGUAUUUACGAUUGGGACCGGUGGUUACCAAAGGUGUUAAAUUAGUCUCUUAAUUGAGUGGAUUUAGAGAGGUUUCAAUUAUGGAGAUUCCUGGUGUGACUAACGGAGAGGGUGUAUUCAUUCAUUCAUUCAUUCAUUCAUUGGCGUGGUUCGAAAUAUUACCCAACGGUGGGGUAACGAACCUAACGCUUUUCGGAAUAAUACUCAAUGGUGGAGUACCGAAUCUUAAUACCCAACGGUGGGGUAUUGUGUCCAAUGGUGGGACACUGUCCAAUGGUGGGACAUUUUAUUCUACUCUAUGGAGUGGCGAUAUCCGGAUCAUGUAGGUUGCAUUCGUUGUCACGUAGACUAACAAAUAGGGCUCGGUGAGUGACUAAUAAGUUGUGCAUUGGUGUUACGUGUUUAUAAUUGAUACACCGGAUACUUGGCUUGGUUAUAUGGUUGUUUUAUAAUUACAAAUCUGCUUAUGCAUAUCUACACAUAUAUCUAUAUAUACAUAUUAUAUCUGUUAGCUGGAGACAACCCUUACCUUUGGAUCAGAUGAUGACCCAAACUCACCUUUCCGAGAGGGUUCUCACGGCGGGGACUUGGCGUGACAUUCCGGACAGAGAUGAUGAUUACGUCAGUCAUGAAGUAUCUUAGCAGAAGCUUUAAGUCUGAUAUUAGCAUAGGAUUUUAAUUUGAUCAGCUUUAGGAUUUUGUUUACGUUACAUACUUGUGUUAGCUAAUUUUCUUCCGUCGAAGUUUAUACGCUGGUUUAAUUUCAUGGUGUUGUAAAUCUUAAGUUGUCAUUUGGUUUUGGCAAAUUCUCGCUGGAUUUUCUUUUGGAUCUAAAGUUUGAUUUGUUACUUUCA